rnacentral:misc_RNA from 1 species
UCCGAGUUGUCCCCGGCAGUCUUCCUAGAGUCCCCGCCAUUACGCGCUGGUAACUAAGAACAGGGGUUGCGCUCGUUGCGGGACUUAACCCAACAUCUCACGACACGAGCUGACGACAACCAUGCACCACCUGUACGGGACCCUUGCGGACCCGACAUCUCUGCCGGAUUUCCCCGUAUGUCAAGCCUUGGUAAGGUUCUUCGCGUUGCGUCGAAUUAAGCCACAUGCUCCGCCGCUUGUGCGGGCCCCCGUCAAUUCCUUUGAGUUUCAAUCUUGCGAUCGUACUUCCCAGGUGGGAUACUUAAUGCUUUCGCUCAGACACACACUGUGUAUCGCGUAUGUCGAGUAUCCAUAGUUUAGGGCGUGGACUAC